UACGUAGGGGGCAAGCGUUGUCCGGAUUUAUUGGGCGUAAAGAGCGUGUAGGCGGCCAUGCAGGUCCGUUGUGAAAACUCGAGGCUCAACCUCGAGACGUCGAUGGAAACCGCAUGGCUAGAGUCCGGAAGAGGAGAGUGGAAUUCCUGGUGUAGCGGUGAAAUGUGCAGAUAUCAGGAAGAACACCCGUGGCGAAGGCGGCUCUCUGGGACGGUACUGACGCUGAGACGCGAAAGCGUGGGGAGCGAACAGG
rnacentral:rRNA from 1 species